GGACAACCGUUGGAAACGACGGCUAAUACCGCAUAAUCUCUACGGAGCAAAGGGGGCUUAGGCUCUCGCCUUUAGAUUGGCCCAAGUGGGAUUAGCUAGUUGGUGGGGUAAUGGCUCACCAAGGCGACGAUCCCUAGCUGGUUUGAGAGGAUGAUCAGCCACACUGGGACUGAGACACGGCCCAGACUCCUACGGGAGGCAGCAGUGGGGAAUAUUGCACAAUGGGCGCAAGCCUGAUGCAGCCAUGCCGCGUGUGUGAAGAAGGCCUUCGGGUUGUAAAGCACUUUCAGCAAGGAGGAAAGGGUGUAAGUUAAUACCUUGCAUCUGUGACGUUACUUGCAGAAGAAGCACCGGCUAACUCCGUGCCAGCAGCCGCGGUAAUACGGAGGGUGCGAGCGUUAAUCGGAAUUACUGGGCGUAA
rnacentral:rRNA from 1 species